AUACGUAGGGGGCGAGCGUUGUCCGGAAUGAUUGGGCGUAAAGGGCGCGUAGGCGGCGCGGUAAGUCUGGAGUGAAAGUCCUGCUUUCAAGGUGGGAAUUGCUUUGGAUACUGCCGCGCUUGAGUGCAGGAGAGGUUAUCGGAAUUCCUGGUGUAGCGGUGAAAUGCGUAGAGAUCGGGAGGAACACCAGUGGCGAAGGCGGGUAACUGGACUGCAACUGACGCUGAGGCGCGAAAGUGUGGGGAGCAAACAGGAUUAGAUACCCUGGUAGUCCACACUGUAAACGAUGAAUGCUAGGUGUAAGAGGUAUCGACCCCUUUUGUGCCGGAGUCAACACAAUAAGCAUUCCGCCUGGGGAGUACGGCCGCAAGGUUGAAACUCAAAUGAAUUGGCGGGG
rnacentral:rRNA from 1 species